UUUGUACGGGUUUAGACCCGUAGCAAAUAGCUCCGUAACACGUGGUCAAACUACCCUCUGGACCGGAAUACCCUCGGGAAACUGAGGCUAAUUCCGGAUACUGCUUUCAUGUUGGAACACAGAAAGUCGGAAACGGUCCGCCGCCGGAGGACGUGACUGCGGCCGAUUAGGUAGACGGUGGGGUAACGGCCCACCGUGCCGAUAAUCGGUACGGGUUGUGAGAGCAAGAACCCGGAGACGGUAUCUGAGACAAGAUACCGGGCCCUACGGGGCGCAGCAGGCGCGAAACCUUUACACUGCACGCCAGUGCGAUAAGGGGACCCCGAGUGCGAGGGCAUACAGUCCUCGCUUUUCGUGACCGUAAGAAGGUCUCAGAAUAAGAGCUGGGCAAGACCGGUGCCAGCCGCCGCGGUAAUACCGGCAGCUCGAGUGAUAGCCACUAUUAUUGGGCCUAAAGCGUCCGUAGCCGGCCGAACACGUCCGUCGGGGAAAUCCACCUGCUCAACGGGUGGACGUCCGGCGGAAACCAGUCGGCUUGGGGCCGGGAGACCAGAGAGGUACGUCCGGGGUAGGAGUGAAAUCCUGUAAUCCUGCAC
rnacentral:rRNA from 1 species